UGAGGAAUAUUGGGCAAUGCCCGCAAGGGUGACCCAGCAACGCCGCGUGGAGGAUGAAUGUCGUAAGAUUGUAAACUCCUGUUAGAGGGGAAGAAUAGUACCGGUUGGACCGGUAUAUGACUGUACCCUCAGAGAAAGCCCCGGCUAACUACGUGCCAGCAGCCGCGGUAAUACGUAGGGGGCAAGCGUUGUCCGGAUUUACUGGGUGUAAAGGGCGCGCAGGCGGGAUAAAAAGUCAGUGGUGAAGUCCUACAGCUUAACUGUAGAACUGCCUUUGAUACUUUUAUUCUUGAGUUCGGGAGAGNGAGACGGAAUUCCAGGGGUAGUGGUGAAAUACGUAGAUAUCUGGAAGAACACCAGUUGCGAAGGCGGUCUCUUGGUCCGACACUGACGCUGAGGCGCGAAAGCGUGGGGAGCAAACA
rnacentral:rRNA from 1 species